rnacentral:rRNA from 1 species
GACGAACGCUGGCGGCGUGCUCAACACAUGCAAGUCGAACGGAAAGGCCCUUUCGGGGGUACUCGAGUGGCGAACGGGUGAGUCACACGUGGGCAACCUGCCCUCAGCUCUGGGAUAACUCCGGGAAACCGGGGCUAAUACUGGAUAUUCACUGCUCAUCGCAUGGUGGGUGGUGGAAAGUUUUUCGGCUGGGGAUGGGCCCGCGGCCUAUCAGCUUGUUGGUGGGGUGAUGGCCUACCAAGGCGACGACGGGUAGCCGGCCUGAGAGGGCGACCGGCCACACUGGGACUGAGACACGGCCCAGACUCCUACGGGAGGCAGCAGUGGGGAAUAUUGCGCAAUGGGCGGAAGCCUGACGCAGCGACGCCGCGUGAGGAAUGACGGCCUUCGGGUUGUAAGCCUCUUUCAGCUCUGACGAAGCGAGAGUGACGGUAGGAGCAGAAGAAGCACCGGCCAACUACGUGCCAGCCGCCGCCGUAAGAC